rnacentral:tRNA from 1 species
GGAAGGGUGUCCGAGUGGCUUAAGGAGCACGCUUGGAAAGCGUGUGGGAGCAAUCCCUCGCAGGUUCAAAUCCUGUCCCUUCCG